GCGCCCGUAGCUCAAUCGGAUAGAGCGACUGGCUUCGAACCAGUAGGUACCGUGUUCGAAUCACGGCGGGCGCGCCA
rnacentral:tRNA from 1 species